rnacentral:rRNA from 1 species
UACAGAGGGUGCAAGCGUUAUUCGGAUUUACUGGGCGUAAAGCGCAUGUAGGUUGUUUAGCAAGUCUGGUGUGAAAGCCCCCGUUUUAAGCGGGGAAGUGCAUCAGAUACUACUAGACUAGAGUACAGGAGGGGGGAGCGGAAUUCCAGGUGUAGAGGUGAAAUUCGUAGAUAUCUGGAGGAACAACGGAGGCGAAGGCGGCUCCCUGGACUGUAACUGACACUCAGAUGCGAAAGCGUGGGGAGCAAACAGG